CAUAGCGACUAUCGUGGCAUAUCAAUAAGCGGAGGAAAAGAAACUAACUAAGGAUUCCCUCAGUAACGGCGAGUGAAGCGGGAAGAGCUCAAAUUUGAAAUCUUCAAGGUUCUACCUUUACGAAUUGUAGUUUAAAGAAGUGUUUUCUGUUGGAGUUUCGGUAAAAGUUCUUUGGAAUAGGACAUCAUAGAGGGUGAGAAUCCCGUAUUUGACCAGUUAUUUCCAACUUUGUGAUACACUUUCAAAGAGUCGGAUUGUUUGGAAAUGCAGUCCAAAAUGGGUGGUAAAUUUCAUCUAAAGCUAAAUACUGGCGAGAGACCGAUAGCGAACAAGUACCGUGAGGGAAAGAUGAAAAGAACUUUGAAAAGAGAGUUAAACAGUACGUGAAAUUGUCAAAAGGGAAGCGUUUGACACCAGUGUUGUUUUCUCGAAAAUCAAUUAAAAAUGGUGGGAUGUUGUGUUGUAUUGACUUUAUCAGCUUUCUGCACUUUUUUUCCUAUCUUUUUUAAUGCACUUUUCGUUUAACAAGUCAACAUCAAUUUCUUUUGUUGUAAAAGAGUCAUUGGAAGGUGGCUUUCUUUUCGGAGAAAGUGUUUAUAGCCUUUGGCUUCUGCAAUCGGAGAGAUUGAGGUCUGCAGCGUAGAUCCUUCGGGGUUAGAUGCAUUUGUGCUAAGUUAUAGCCUUUCAUAGACAACUUGUUGACUAUGAUCAGUCAUGUAGCUUACUCGCUUAUGUCAUUUUACCUACGCUUAGGAUGUUGAAGAUAUGCGCGACAC
rnacentral:rRNA from 1 species